rnacentral:rRNA from 1 species
GAUGAACGCUGACAGAAUGCUUAACACAUGCAAGUCAACUUGAACUUCGGUUUGGGUGGCGGACGGGUGAGUAACGCGUAAAGAACUUGCCUCACAGCUAGGGACAACAUUUGGAAACGAAUGCUAAUACCUGAUAUUAUGAUUUUAGGGCAUCCUAGAAUUAUGAAAGCUAUAUGCGCUGUGAGAGAGCUUUGCGUCCCAUUAGCUAGUUGGAGAGGUAACGGCUCACCAAGGCGAUGAUGGGUAGCCGGCCUGAGAGGGUGAACGGCCACAAGGGGACUGAGACACGGCCCUUAAUCCUACGGGAGGCAGAAGUGGGGAAUAUUGGACAAUGGACCAAGAGUCUGAUCCAGAAAUUCUGUGUGCACGAUGAAGUUUUUAGGAAUGUAAAGUGCUUUCAGUUGGGAAGAAAAAAAUGACGGUACCAACAGAAGAAGUGACGGCUAAAUACGUG